rnacentral:rRNA from 1 species
GCUACAGGCUUAACACAUGCAAGUCGAGGGGUAGCAGGGUAGCAAUACCGCUGACGACCGGCGCACGGGUGAGUAACACGUAUCCAACCUUCCCAUAACUCGGGGAUAGCCUUUCGAAAGAAAGAUUAAUACCCGAUAGUACUUAUAUAAGGCAUCUUAAAUAAGUUAAAGAUUUAUUGGUUAUGGAUGGGGGUGCGUUCCAUUAGAUAGUUGGUGAGGUAACGGCUCACCAAGUCUUCGAUGGAUAGGGGUUCUGAGAGGAAGGUCCCCCACAUUGGUACUGAGACACGGACCAAACUCCUACGGGAGGCAGCAGUGAGGAAUAUUGGUCAAUGGGCGAGAGCCUGAACCAGCCAAGUAGCGUGAAGGAUGACGG